UGGGGAAUUUUGCACAAUGGGGGAAACCCUGAUACAGCGACGCCGCGUGAUUUAGAAGGCCUUCGGGUUGUAAAAAUCUUUUCUAUGGGAAGAAAAUGACAGUACCAUAGGAAUAAGGACCGGCUAAUUACGUGCCAGCAGCCGCGGUAAUACGUAAGGUCCGAGCGUUGUACGGAAUCAUUGGGCGUAAAGGGUACGUAGGCGGGUAAGCAAGUUAGAAGUGAAAUCCUAUAGCUCAACUAUAGUAAGCUUUUAAAACUGCUCAUCUUGAGGUAUGGAAGGGAAAGUGGAAUUCCUAGUGUAGCGGUGAAAUGCGCAGAUAUUAGGAGGAAUACCGGUGGCGAAGGCGACUUUCUGGCCAUAACCUGACGCUGAGGUACGAAAGCGUGGGUAGCAAACAGG
rnacentral:rRNA from 1 species